AAAAAAUCUGAAUUUGUUCAAAGGCUAGAGGGAAGAGUUUAAUAAUCUCUCUCUUGUUGCCAUGAACACCAUCAUCAGAGAUGAUCGGCUCUGCACUCUUGGUUCUUGAUCUGAAACAACAAACCUAGAAAUGUCAAAAAGAGUUGAAUAUACAGCAGAUACCAUUCAGGCCCUUUAAAGGUUUAGAUUACAACCCUGAUAAAACAUUCCUUUAAAGGUUUAGAUUACAACGUUGAUAAAACAUUCCUUUAAAGGUUUAGAUUACAACAUUGAUAAAACAUUCCUUUUAAAGGUUUAGAUUACAACGUUGAUAAAACAUUCCUUUAAAGGUUUAGAUUACAACGUUGAUAAAACAUUCCC
ensembl:lncRNA